ensembl:lncRNA
GGAGGUUUUGGAUUUCAGAUUAUCUGAAUUCAAAUUCAUUUCUCUUCCCAAAUGAGAGAGAAGGUUCUUGGAAUAGAAGCCCUAAGGCAUGCCAAGGAAGGAAAUAAGCAUAUUAUCUUUUUUGAUCCUCACAACAUCCUAGGAGGUAGGUAUUAUUAUUAUCUCCACUUUAUAUUUGAAUAAACUAGGGCAUGCAGAAAUAAAGUGACUUGCCCAGGGUCACACAGCCAGGCAUUAUCUGAAGCCAGAUUUGAACCUAGAACCUCCUGUCUCUAAGCCUGGCUUUCAAUCCACUGAACCACCCAGCUGCCCCCUUAAGCAAAUUUAAAUGGUUAAAGUCAACACAGAAAUAAAAUUUAAGCUAAAUUAACUUCUCAUUUUUUGGUGUUGCAUUAUGUGAGUAAUUGAUAUCUUUCAAGGGCUUUAAGAUUUACACAGUAUUUUUAUAUGAUUUCUCUCAUGUGUUCUUUAGAACAUUUUGGGGGAGAGAUAGUAGAUGAAUUAUUAUUGUCCCUUUUUUUCUUAGAUGAAAAAAAAAAUGAGACUCAGAAAGAUUAAGUGACUUGCCAGUUAAUGCCAGCAGCAGGAUUCAUACCUAGAUCACCUGAUUCCAAGAGUGUUCUUUGAAUGCAAACAACUUACCCCACCUUUUUAUUAUUAUUGACAGAUACUGUGAUAAUCUCCAUGUAAAGAGUUUCCAGUGAGGCUCUCCAUCUACUAAGGAAGACUGGCACUUGCUCUGCAAUUUAAAGCCUGGGGACACUAAGUGGGCAAUGAGGUGGCACAGUGGACAGAGUGCCAGUCUUGGAGUCAGAAAGAUUCAUCUUCCUGAGUUCAAAUCCGCCUGAGACACUAACUGUGUGUACCUGGGCAAGUCAUUUAACUCUAUUUGCCUCAGUUUUCUCAUCUGUAAAAUGAACUUGAAAAGAAAGUGACUAACCACUCCAGUAUCUUUGCCAAUAAAACCCCAAAUGGGGUCAGGAAGAUGGCUGAGGAAGUUACUAGUCAAGAGAAGGGAGAGCAUUACAAGUCUUGGGGACAACCAAAGAAAAUGGCCAGAGAAGAGAAAUGAAGAGUCUUGCUUGUGGAACCAUCACUGGAUGGAAGAGUAUUUGUUGGGAAGGGAGGAAGCCUGGCAAGGCUGGCAUCACAGGAAACACAGUGUCUUGAAGUUACAAUUGAGGGGCUCCAUAAUGGUCUGGCAUUCUUUUGAUGUUCUACCUGUAGUUGGAAAUGUAUAUGAUGGGAACUUCAGGGAUCUUCCAGACUCUUCACUUAAGGUACACAUUCUAUGUAUUGUGCUACCCAUAUUUGUAAGACGCCUUAGAAACCACUGA